GUUGCUUAGGUUGAAUUGAACUCUUAGUGAAAACAUAUUAUGAUUGUAAUUUCACUUGUUUUAGAAUACUUUUCAAAUUUUAAAUUAUGUGUGUUCAUAUUCUGUUCAUGUCCAAUCUGAUUGCUUUUUUUUUUUCAGUCACAAAAAAAACCACUUUUCGUUUCCAUCUCCUGUCAAGUUUUUCUAUUUUCAUCAUUUGCAUUUAUUUGUGGAGGUAUACUGUGUUAAUACUUGAGUUCUUGAACUAAUUUUUAUGUCGACUCAUUCUCAAGUUCAUUGAGAGUUAUUCUAUGCCUAUUGUAGAUCUCUAACUCAUUUGAUUCAUGAUUGGAGUUAAGGUUUGGAGGAUAAUUAUUUUAUUUCUCUACAAUUCAUUUUCUACUCUCAACUUCAAAAUUCAGCACAAGACUAUCAAAGAAUUGAGUUGAAGAUUUGAAGAAAAAAAUCCUAAGAGGCAAAAGAUGGAAGAAUAUGAGGCUGCUGGUAUUAGGUCUUGAUGUUUUCGUGAAGACCACAAAUAAAUGAGGUUGGUAAUAACUAGCGAGGAUAUCCCUUGAAGUAAAUACAUCACAUGAUAGUACCAAGCAAACGGUUGGUAUGUA